GGUCUGCCACCAACGCCAGGCUCCGAGUUAUGAGAGAGCAGCAGGUCACAGAGUACAGUACCCCCAGCCUUCAGGACGUCAGCGUGCCUCCUGAGCCCAGCAGCACCCCUGCCUGGGGCAGAGCAAUGGGACGCUGAGCCCCAGGACAGAACAGGAGAGCUUGCAGAGUCACCGGAGACGUGCAGAGGCUCAGGCUGGAGACUUCGGUGGAAACUGAUGAGCACAUGCCCAAAAAGAACCCACGGGGCAUGGCUGUCCUGGCCACAGUCAUGCCCACUUGGUUGCAGUUCAAGAACAGAGCUGAGUAGUCAAGGGUGUGGCCCCAAGCCUAUUACUAUCUAGCUUUUCAUAGAAAAAAAAAAUUGCUGCUUCCUGAUGCAGGGGAUAAAAAUACUUUUGAAUUGAAAUUACCUGGGCUCAAAUCCCUUCUUCAUCACUGUGUGACCUUGAGUCAAUUACUCAAUGUACCCCUCAGUUUCCUGUCUGUAAAAAUGGGCAUUGUCUAGGCACCUUCCUAAUAUCUUCACACCCUGGACGCAAAAGACUGAAAAUGCUCAGAACCCUACCAGGCAUUAAAAUGAAAUAAAUCAAUGA